rnacentral:tRNA from 12 species
GCGGGCGUAGCUCAAUGGUAGAGCUUCAGUCUUCCAAACUGACGGUGCGGGUUCGAUUCCCGUCGCCCGCUCCA